UACGUAGGGUGCGAGCGUUGUCCGGAAUUAUUGGGCGUAAAGGGCUCGUAGGCGGUCUGUUGCGUCGGGAGUGAAAACUCAGGGCUUAACCCUGAGCCUGCUUCCGAUACGGGCAGACUAGAGGUAUGCAGGGGAGAAUGGAAUUCCCGGUGUAGCGGUGAAAUGCGCAGAUAUCGGGAAGAACACCCGUGGCGAAGGCGGUUCUCUGGGACGGUACUGACGCUGAGACGCGAAAGCGUGGGGAGCGAACAGG
rnacentral:rRNA from 1 species